rnacentral:tRNA from 1 species
GCCUGGCUGGUUUAGUCAGUAGAGCACAUGACUCUUGAUCUUAGGGUUGUGAGUUCAAGCCCAUGUUGGGCA